UACGUAGGGGGCAAGCGUUGUCCGGAUUUAUUGGGCGUAAAGAGCUCGUAGGCGGCCUGUCGCGUCUGCUGUGAAAUCCCGGGGCUUAACCCCGGGCGUGCAGUGGAUACGGGCUGGCUGGAGGCAGGCAGGGGAGAAUGGAAUUCCCGGUGUAGCGGUGAAAUGCGCAGGAUAUCGGGAGGAACACCGGUGGCGAAGGCGGUUCUCUGGGCCUGUUCUGACGCUGAGGAGCGAAAGCGUGGGGAGCGAACAGG
rnacentral:rRNA from 1 species